UACGUAGGGGGCUAGCGUUGUCCGGAUUUAUUGGGCGUAAAGAGCUCGUAGGCGGUUUGUCGCGUCUGCUGUGAAAACCUAAGGCUCAACCUUGGGCUUGCAGUGGGUACGGGCAGACUAGAGUGCGGUAGGGGUGACUGGAAUUCCUGGUGUAGCGGUGGAAUGCGCAGAUAUCAGGAGGAACACCGAUGGCGAAGGCAGGUCACUGGGCCGCAACUGACGCUGAGGAGCGAAAGCAUGGGGAGCGAACAGG
rnacentral:rRNA from 1 species